rnacentral:rRNA from 1 species
GGUUGUUACAUUACUAAUUGUGGGACACAUGAAAACUCCACAAUUAAGCGUGCUUGGAUGAGAAUAAUACUAGGAUGAGUGAUCUCCUGGGAAGUUUUCAUCUGUACAACCA